AUUGAACGCUGGCGGAAUGCUUUACACAUGCAAGUCGGGCGGCAGCAUGGACCUCGGUCUGAUGGCGAGCGGCGAACGGGUGAGUAAUGCAUCGGAACGUACCUAGUUGUGGGGGAUAGCUCGGCGAAAGCCGGAUUAAUACCGCAUACGUCCUACGGGAGAAAGCAGGGGAUCGCAAGACCUUGCGCAAUUGGAGCGGCCGAUGUCUGAUUAGCUAGUUGGUGGGGUAAAGGCUCACCAAGGCGACGAUCAGUAGCGGGUCUGAGAGGAUGAUCCGCCACACUGGGACUGAGACACGGCCCAGACUCCUACGGGAGGCAGCAGUGGGGAAUUUUGGACAAUGGGCGCAAGCCUGAUCCAGCCAUUCCGCGUUUGAGUGAAAGAAGGGCCUUCGGGUUGUAAAGCUCUUUCGGCAGGAACGAAACGGUUUACGGCUAAUACCCGUGACUACUGACGGUACCUGAAGAAGAAGCACCGGCUAACUACGUGCCAGCAGCCGCGGUAAUACGUAGGGUGCGAGCGUUAAUCGGAAUUACUGGGCGUAAAGCGUGCGCAGGCGGAUUGUUAAGCAAGAUGUGAAAUCCCCGGGCUUAACCUGGGAAUGGCAUUUUGAACUGGCAGUCUAGAGUGUGUCAGAGGGGGGUGGAAUUCCACGUGUAGCAGUGAAAUGCGUAGAUAUGUGGAGGAACACCAAUGGCGAAGGCAGCCCCCUGGGAUAACACUGACGCUCAUGUACGAAAGCGUGGGUAGCAAACAGGAUUAGAUACCCUGGUAGUCCACGCCCUAAACGAUGUCAACUGGUUGUUGGGGGAGUGAAAUCCCUUAGUAACGAAGCUAACGCGUGAAGUUGACCGCCUGGGGAGUACGGUCGCAAGAUUAAAACUCAAAGGAAUUGACGGGGACCCGCACAAGUGGUGGAUGAUGUGGAUUAAUUCGAUGCAACGCGAAAAACCUUACCUACCCUUGACAUGUCCGGAAUCCUGCAGAGAUGCGGGGGUGCCUCGAAAGAGAACCGGAACACAGGUGCUGCAUGGCUGUCGUCAGCUCGUGUCGUGAGAAUGUUGGGUUAAGUCCCGCAAACGAGCGCAACCCUUAUCAUUAGUUGCUACGCAAGAGCACUCUAAGGAGACUGCCGGUGACAAACCGGAGGAAGGUGGGGAUGACGUCAAGUCCUCAUGGCCCUUAUGGGUAGGGCUUCACACGUCAUACAAUGGUCGGUACAGAGGGUUGCCAAGCCGCGAGGUGGGGCCAAUCCCACAAAGCCGAUCGUAGUCCGGAUUGUUCUCUGCAACUCGAGAGCAUGAAGUCGGAAUCGCUAGUAAUCGCAGGUCAGCAUACUGCGGUGAAUACGUUCCCGGGUCUUGUACACACCGCCCGUCACACCAUGGGAGUGGGUUGCUCCAGAAGUAGGUAGCCUAACCGCAAGGGGGGCGCUUACCACGGAGUGAUUCAUGACUGGGGUG
rnacentral:rRNA from 1 species